AAAAAGGCAAACCCUGAGUUUUCGUGUCCAACUUUGACUGUCUGUCUUAUAUGAAAUAUUUUUAUAAUUCGUAUUUUUAUUGUUGUUAGAUGAUAAAACAUGAUUAAUAUUUUAUGCGUGACUUGUCUUUUUAAUUUUUUUAUAAUUUUUUAAAUAAGACAGACGGUCAAACGUUGGACACGGAAACCAGAGUUUGUCUUUUUC
rnacentral:pre_miRNA from 1 species